GAUGAACGCUGGCGGCGUGCCUAAUACAUGCAAGUCGAGCGAAUGGAUUAAGAGCUUGCUCUUAUGAAGUUAGCGGCGGACGGGUGAGUAACACGUGGGUAACCUGCCCAUAAGACUGGGAUAACUCCGGGAAACCGGGGCUAAUACCGGAUAACAUUUUGAACCGCAUGGUUCGAAAUUGAAAGGCGGCUUCGGCUGUCACUUAUGGAUGGGCCCGCGUCGCAUUAGCUAGUUGGUGAGGUAACGGCUCACCAAGGCAACGAUGCGUAGCCGACCUGAGAGGGUGAUCGGCCACACUGGGACUGAGACACGGCCCAGACUCCUACGGGAGGCAGCAGUAGGGAAUCUUCCGCAAUGGACGAAAGUCCGACGGAGCAACGCCGCGUGAGUGAUGAAGGCUUUCGGGUCGUAAAACUCUGUUGUUAGGGAAGAACAAGUGCUAGUUGACUAAGCUGGCACCUUGACGGUACCUAACCAGAAAGCCACGGCUAACUACGUGCCAGCCGCCGCCGUAA
rnacentral:rRNA from 1 species